AUAAGAGGUCCCGCCUGCCCGGUGACCCCUGGGUUAAACGGCCGCGGUAUUUUGACCGUGCGAAGGUAGCGCAAUCACUUGUCCUUUAAAUGAGGACCUGUAUGAAUGGCUAGACGAGGGCUUAGCUGUCUCCUCCCCCCAGUCAAUGAAAUUGAUCUCCCCGUGCAGAAGCGGGGAUUAACACAUAAGACGAGAAGACCCUAUGGAGCUUUAGACACUAGACAGCCCACGUUACACCCCCUCCAUUAAGAGGGGAAAACAUUGUGGCUCCUGCCUCCCCUGUCUUCGGUUGGGGCGACCGCGGAGGAUAGCAAAGCCUCCUUGUGGACCAAGGUUACGAACCUCACACCUAAGGGCUGCCGCCCUAAGCAACAGAAAUUCUGACCAAGAUGAUCCGGCGUAACGCCGAUUAACGGAACAAGUUACCCUAGGGAUAACAGCGCAAUCCUCUCCCAGAGUCCCUAUCGACGAGGGGGUUUACGACCUCGAUGUUGGAUCAGGACAUCCUAUUGGUGCAGCCGCUAAUAAGGGUUCGUUUGUUCAACGAUUAAAGUCCUACGUGAUCUGAGUUCAGACCGGAGCAAUCCAGGUCAGUUUCUAUCUAUGA
rnacentral:rRNA from 1 species